GGCCAUUCCGAGGGGUGCCCACCAUAAGCGUGGGCUGAGAUAGCGCGAGCUGACCCUUGAACCUGAUCCGGGUAAUACCGGCGUAGGAACGGGAAUCACCACCACG
rnacentral:ncRNA from 2 species